UGAUCGCACACACGACCUUCCGGUUGAGAGACGACCGACUCUACCGGCUGAGCCACAGCAGCCCCAGUUGGUGACUGUGAUAGAUCUGAUCACGACCUGCCAUGCUGCCAUUGCCAAAAACUUAUGGGGCAUUUUGCCACUGCCUCACAGGGACCAAAAAGCUCCUCAGCAGCGGCGGCUGAAAAGAGUUUUGCCUUUACAGCCUCCACCAACUGGUUUGCGUUUGUUCGCACUCUACAACACUCCAACAAUACAUUGCAUUCAUGACUGAUUUACCUAAUUAUGAUUGUUUUAACUUUAGUUUGAUAAUAAAUUAACUUCCUUUAAACCUUG